ACUCUGUAUUUUAGUAUUCAACCCGCAGUCCUUUAUUAAGUGAGAAAAACGUUUCGUUCAGGUUGUUUUUCUAAACGCCCCCUGUAGUUUCCAAUAUUCAACCCUUGGUCCACAAGCAAAAAAUAGAGCACGGGCUCUCCCUCACCUCCCGAUCCCAGCCGCCAGGAGGCGACCGACCCCGGCGACGCUCGAUCCGUUGCCGCGACGUGCGCCGGUCGGCGCCGGCGAGCACAGCACCCUGCACCACCGUUAAGCCUCAGAUCCUCCUCUCCUCCACGCGCGCCCGAGCUCGUCACUGUGUGCCGCCCGGGAGGGCUCGCGGUUCGAUGCAGAACGGCAGCGGACGGAGCUUGCAGGGCCCGGAUCUGCCGGGGGGGUGUGCCGGUGACGCGGAGGAAGGCCGGAGCACGCUUCCCGGUCGGCUCCAUGGUGGCUCCUGGGCAGAAAUCCAUGGCGCUCCUGGGCAGAAAGGAGAUAGGGAGGUGAGGGAGAAAGAAGGGACAGUGAUGAGCUCCACACAGAAAAGAAUCUCAUACUGCAAAGAUUGAUGGUCAGAUCAAGUGUAUUAAUGAAAUGUGCAACAUGAUGUCUCUUGAUCUUAAGAAGACAUUAUAUGAAGUUCAUCCCAGCUUUGUUGAAUUGGAAAGAAUCAAAUCCAUGAGUAUAAGUGAUAGCACACUUGAUAGGCUUGCAGGAAAAGUUCAUGCACUAAAUCAAGAAAAGAAACAGAGGCUCCGGAAGCUACAAGAUCAUGGAAGCACACUCAUUGAGUUAUGGAGUCUAAUAGACACACCAUUAGAUGAACAGAAAUGCUUUGAUCAUGUUACUUCUUUGAUUUCAGUCUCACAAAAUACAGCGAUGCCCCAAGGAUGCCUUGCACAUGACCUUAUUAAGAAGGUUAGAGUUGAUUCUUGAUUGUCUAUUUAUUUACUUAUUUUCUUUCUAUUUUCAUCAAGCUAAUUUCUUUAAAUUAUAGUAAAUGUCAUGUGAAAUUCCUUUCCCCCGUUGUUUGGGUAGAGGUUGAGGUCAAGAGACUGAAGCAUUUGAAAGCUCGCAAAAUGGAAGAGCUUGUCUUAAAGAAAAUGACUGAGCUUGAAGAAAUCUAGAAAAGUGUUCACAUGUAUAUUGACAGCAAUCAUGAGUGGCAGAUUCUCAAUGAACUUAUUGAUUCUGGUUCACUUCUUUCCCAUGCUUUUCAUCCUGAAGAUACAUAACUAAAGUUAUUAUAUACAGUUUUGUUUCCAUUAA